rnacentral:rRNA from 1 species
AUUGAACGCUGGCGGCAGGCCUAACACAUGCAAGUCGAACGAGUGGCGGACGGGUGAGUAAUGUCUGGGAAACUGCCUGAUGGAGGGGGAUAACUACUGGAAACGGUCGCUAAUACCGCAUACCAUCGGAUGUGCACCGAUGGGAUUAGGUAGUAGGUGAGGUAACGGCUCACCUAGGCGACGAUCCCUAGCUGGUCUGAUAGGAUGACAAGCCACACUGGAAAUGAGACACGGUCCAGACUCCUACGGGAGGCAGCAGUGGGGAAUAUUGCACAAUGGGAGCAAGCCUGAUGCAGCCAUGCCGCGUGUGUGAAGAAGGCCUUCGGGUUGUAAAGCACUUUCAGCGGGGAGGCGUUACCCGCAGAAGAAGCACCGGCUAACUCCGUGCCAGCAGCCGCGGUAAUAC